rnacentral:ncRNA from 2 species
CGACGUCUUCGGGGCGGGGUGCGAUUCCCCACCGGCGGUAAGGCCAGCGAUGGCCAAGCCCGCGAGCGCCUUUGCAAUCCAUCGCAAAGGGUCAGCAGAUCUGGUGUGACUCCAGAGCCGACGGUAUAGUCCGGAUGAAAGAAGAUGUGC